UACCUCUCGACUUGGAGAGGGCGGAUCCAAGGUCAAGAAGCAGCGUCAGUGUUUUCCCCCAAAACGUAGCCUUCAUGUUAGGUGCUGCGCCUCGAUUGGAGAAAAGAGCUGCAGAUUGCCAUCAGAGUCAUCAUAAAUUUUAAGGGUUAGUGACCGUUCUUGCGCAAUAAAAGGGUCUUCUGAGGUCAAGACGAUCUGUUUCAGCCUGUAUGUUGUGGUUUUGCCCACGUGUUUGAAGACACGUAAGGUACAUUGCGGUAGGGGAAAGUGAAGUAGGCAACUUUUUAAACCCUAACCAACCAGACGUCGGCCUAGUCGCUUGUCAUUCGUCUUGUUGAAAUACUCCGAGCUACUAUCAAAAGACUACCUUGAACUUUACCAGCCAAAUAUGGGCGUUGCAUCACAAGCUGUUAUUCUUUUCGUCAUCACGAUAUUGGGACUUUCUAAGGUGAACGGGUAUUCCUUGGCAGCAUCAGAAUGUCGAUCACCUUCAGACUGUGGCCCUGGAGAGUGUUGCGUUCUAGGUAUG